rnacentral:rRNA from 1 species
UUUUGGACAAUGGGGGCAACCCUGAUCCAGCCAUGCCGCGUGAGUGAAGAAGGCCUUCGGGUUGUAAAGCUCUUUCGGACGGAACGAAAUGGGCGGGACUAAUACUCCUGUCUGAUGACGGUACCGUAAGAAGAAGCACCGGCUAACUACGUGCCAGCAGCCGCGGUAAUACGUAGGGUGCGAGCGUUAAUCGGAAUUACUGGGCGUAAAGCGUGCGCAGGCGGUUUCGUAAGCUGGAGGUGAAAUCCCCGGGCUUAACCUGGGAAUGGCCUUCAGGACUGCGAGGCUAGAGUGCGGCAGAGGGAGGUGGAAUUCCACGUGUAGCAGUGAAAUGCGUAGAGAUGUGGAGGAACACCGAUGGCGAAGGCAGCCUCCUGGGUCAGCACUGACGCUCAUGCACGAAA